rnacentral:lncRNA from 1 species
GAGUGCAAGCAGCUGCAGUCCUCAUGGGCCGCCAGCCUCCCGCUUCCUGCAGAGGCGCCCAGAGCUGGAGCUGGUCUGCGCAUGCACUUGGAGGCACGGUAUGAACAACCGCAGAAAUGCCGGCCAACUACGCCAGUUCCCAGAGCCCAGCGUUCUCCUCUCUCCUCUUUCAUUGGUUUCCCAGGAAAGCUGCUGAGGGCGGGAACCCCAGAUGCACAGUUUGGCUCAUAAGCGGGCUGCCUUUCACAGCCACCACUACCCACCCGGGGAGAGCACUGGAUUGUGGCAAACGGGACCUCUUUGUGUGAGCAACCAAGGCCAUAUGCUGCUGGCGAGUGUGGUGGGAUGUAUUUAUAUUGGAUACAGCCUGGAGCCCUGCACUGGAGCUUCUUACUGCCAGGAGAGCUAGUGUGGUGGAGGGGAGAAGCGGUGAAGCCAUUUCUAUCCCAGCAUGCCCAGCAUUUCAGAGAUGACAAGGAAAAUCUUCAUUACCAUUUCAAGAACUGGGAACAAAGAAAAAUCCCGUUCCAGGACGCAAAGGAGGAGAUGCGGGUAGCUGAACAGAAACUUUUGAAGAUUACCAUGGGAAUACACCUGUGAACUUCCAGGUUUGAUCUCAGUUACUCCCUUACUUGAAGAAGGCUUCGAUGAUUCCUCAUGGAGAAAUCCCAGAUACUUCUGCACAUGAUUCAGAGGUCCCUUACAACUGGCUUCAGCCUGCCUUCCAAGCCCUGUCUCUCGCCUCUCCCUUCCUUCACACUGUGCUUCAGCGAGAUGCUGUGUUUUUUGCAAAUGGACGGUUUGGGCAACUCUUUGUGGAGCAAGUCUAUCGGUGCCAUUUUCCCAACAACAUGGAUUCACUUCAUGUCUCUGAGUCACAUUUUGGCUGGAGUGUGGUGGCGUGAUCUUGGUUCACUGCAACCU